rnacentral:rRNA from 1 species
AGUGAACGCUGGCGGCGUGCUUAACACAUGCAAGUCGAACGAGAACGGAUUAUAGCUUGCUAUAAUUGUCAGCUAAGUGGCGCACGGGUGAGUAAUAUAUAGAUAACCUGCCCUCUAGAAAGGAAUAACAGUUGGAAACGACUGCUAAUGCCCUAUAUGCCUUUAAUACAUAAGUAUGCAAGGGAAACGCUUUAGUGCUAGAGGAUGGGUCUGUAUGGUAUCAGCUUGUUGGUGAGGUAAUGGCUCACCAAGGCUAUGACGCCUAACUGGUCUGAGAGGAUGAUCAGUCACACUGGAACUGAGACACGGUCCAGACUCCUACGGGAGGCAGCAGUGGGGAAUAUUGCACAAUGGACGAAAGUCUGAUGCAGCAACGCCGCGUGGAGGAUGACACAUUUCGGUGCGUAAACUCCUUUUAUAUAGGAAGAUAAUGACGGUAUUAUAUGAAUAAGCACCGGCUAACUCCGUGCCAGCAGCCGCCGUAA